AACUCCGCAACUCCCAAGCAAGAGCAGUAAUCAAAUGGUGGGCGUGGCCAGGUCCUGGGGGGGGGGGGGCUGGAUUUGGGGUGGAGUUUGCCGACCCAGCCCCAGGGCAUUGCCUUUGCCUGCUGAGUCUCCACCUAGACCAGGUUCCAGCCAGCCCAAAGUGGCACGCCUGAUGUGUUAAAGCCCGGAACUCGAAAGUGGCACACAUCGCUUGGCUGAUGUUUGAUUGGCAAAAAGGAAGCGGGUAGCCAACAGUCCGCUGCAAGGGAGUCUGGGUAAUACAGUCUAGUUGGGCCGAAGGAUCAAGGGAGAGCAUGGACUUCGUGUGGACAGGGUGCAGAUCUCGCCGCAAACCUUAGCCAGAGCCAGGGAGUCUGCAGGGACAACGAUGCUCUUUCCUCAGUGACAGAUGCCCUCUGCCACCCUUCUGGUCCCACGUUCGCCUGGGGCUCAUGAAGCCCAUUUGGAGACUGCAGGACACGGUUCACAACGAAACACACACACGUGCUGGCAGCAACUCUGGAAAAAAAAAGGUUGCAAAUGGGGCAAUUAUAAGGCCCAUUGUAUUUGCUAUCGCUGAACUUCCAGAUCUCAGACUCAGAGCCUCCCGGCAGCAAGAGUGAAAGGGGAAUGAUGGCCAACGACACCGCCUCACUUCCCUGGAACACACAGUUCUCCAGAGGGGAGAAACAUUUUCCAGAUGCUUCAUCUGAAAAUAAGCUUUAUGCUCAGGGCCCUUCGAAAGGGGGCAACGAGAACCGAGAAGUUCAAUGUUCACGCGAGAGCAAGCACAGUUGCAAAAUUCCCAGAGCCAGAGUAAAAAAGUGGGGCCGGCGGGUGCCUGCCUAGUGCCCGCUCGGGUUGUUCGGUGGCGAGUUCGCAGAACCCCGUCGUGAGAAGGAUUCAAGGCCGCACAGAGGCUGGACAAAGAAGGCAGAUGAUUGACGGGGCAUGCUAUGUCGCUCCUUACCGUGGGCUAAAUAAACACAGCACAAAUGAGCCGCUUUCUGGUGUCCGCGUGGUCCAAAGACAGAGCUCUGGGGCUAGACAGGGUAUGGCUAUCAUUCUCCUUAGAUGUCCCUGAAUGACCUUGUUCACCAUUGGGUCUUCCAGAAGAACUGGCAGGCUGGGUGACGUUUCUAUUGAUGCUUGAAGUCAGAGGAAGUGCGUGGCAGGUUGAACUAAGAGGCCUACGCUGCAGAAGCCUGCCCAAUAAUCACAUCUCGAUUCAGAGCCAUGCCGCCCUCCACGUGGGCCUGGGCCACAUGUUUUUGUUUUUUUUUUUAAUGGUAAAAUAUUUAUUCCUGCAAGACUUUUGAGGGGCUUCCACUUUCUUUUACUUUUCUGUAUUGGUUGAACUUACUAUAUAGCACAUAUUACUUUGAUGAUCAAAAUCUGGUAGCUAGAUCAUUUUAAGUUUAUUUAUUUUUGGGAGAGAGAGGGAGACAGAGCGAGUGAGUAGGGGAGGGGCAGAGAGAGAGAGAGAGACAGCGAAUCCCUAGCAGGCUCCACACGGUCAGCACAGAGCCCGAUGUGGGGCUCGAACCCACGAAAGGAGAGAUCAUGGCCUGAACUGAAACCACGAGUUAGAUGCUUAACCGGCUGAGCCACCCAGGCGCCCUAGAUCAUUUUAAAUUAGUCAUUUUUCUUUCUUCCUUUCCUGGUUUUCUUUCUUUCUUUUUUUUUUUUGGCUUCAAGUCAUAUCAACGUUCUGUAAGGGCUAGUCUCCCAGUGACCUAAGACACAGAACUGAUGAAGAACCUUAUCUAACUCAAUUCCAAAUAUCUGGAACUGUUUCACUCAGGCCACCCUUGGAGAGGAACCGAAGAUAAGAAAACAGUUUGGAGAAUCUGUGAUGUCUGCCGAAGACCCAUGGUUCUGAGACAGUCACCUUGCACACGUCCGUGGCCCAGGAACCCCACAGCCACAGGCCAAUGGCCAACGUGGGGUCCUGGAGGCCAUGAUCAAGAAAAAAAACCAAACAACAAAAAGACAUUCACUAAAUAUCAAGGCAGGAAACACAAGGAGGAAACACCUAAAGAACAAUUUUGAAAAACCGUUCAAAACUGGAAGGGGUUGCUGUGCAAGACGUCAAUUCUGGAAAGCGCGGCCGGAUCCUUGGACACUGCCUUCCACCGACUAGGGAUGUGUGCACACGGAUGCCCACUCCUCUCUUACUUCUGAGAUUCUCCUUCUCCGAAAGCCUCUGGCCACGUUUUGCAGAAGACUCUGCAGCAGGGGUGAAUUUCCAAAGCGGUUUUUUUUUUUUUUUCUGGUUAGCCUUCAAUUAACCAGAAAAUCAAAUUAAUUGUGCAUGAAGUUCUAUUUCCAGGACACAGGCUGACCCAUGGAAUAUGCAAAUCUGGGUAAAAAUAAGUCAUGUUCAAGUGGGGGCUCUCUCGUGUUUGUUUUAGAGCGGGGAAGAAUGGAAAAACAAGACAGUGAGGGCCCAGGGCCAAAGAAAAUGCUAUAUUUAGACGUGAAGGGCUUUGUUUGGCCCCGAUACCAGUGUAGACACAGCCAGUCAGGAACAAGGGGGCCAUUCAAUCAAUCCACCUGACACGCUACUGUCGCCGGCCUGUGCGUUCCACGGGCACCGAGCUCAGAACCAUCCUGAAAGGGGCUGUCGGCUGGGAGGCGGUAACAGCUGGUCCGUGGCAAUUAACCGGCAGUUUCUGUUGCUGAAGGAGAUUAUUUUGGAUGGCGUAAAGAGAUUCAAAUAAAAAUGUCAACGUGCCCAUUAUGGAUGAAAGUUAGAAAAACUUAAGUGGCCCCGAAUUAAUCACUAUGUGACAGCGAGGCACAUAAAUGAGUACCGAAAAUCCUCCGCAAAUCUGUUUUCCUGCCUUUUUGGUAAUCGUAAAGAAGCUUGCUGGGGGGUGUGGGGAGGGCAUUUCUCGGCUACAACCUUAAUUCAUCUCGGAGUGAAGAUUUAAUGACAAAGUUACAAGCCCUCAAAGCAGCAUUUAUUGAGGGGCUAAUGAGCGUCCCUAAGAACUCUCUGGAAAAAAGAAAAAAAAAUAGAGGCAGCCACCAAACAUAAGAGGCCUUUGAAAAUACCGAAGAGAGGGGAGUUCAUUAGGCUUUUUUUUUUUUCUUCCCCUUUCUCAACAAUGAAGAUUUCUGCUGCCAAACCUUCAGGAGUAGGGUUGGUUUCCUUUCAAGUAAUUGAUGCGGAUUUUGCUUCUGCACGGAGUCCAGACAAGCUCUCCAACGAGAAGCAGGAAAUCACACCGUCAAAGGGAAACUGUGCAUUCCUUCCUCCCUGGCUGGGUCGGCCCUCACAAACACUGGAUUUAUGCUGCCUUGCCAAACCGCCUCCGAUUUCCAUGCCCUCCCACGGCUAAGAUAACGGACGCUGCCUUCGGCCUCUGCGAGCGGCACUGACUUAAAACUCCAGCUACGCGGUAACAAAACCGGCUGCUGUCACCCCAAAUCGAGCAAAUGAGCUCCUGUCCUACAGCAUAAAAGUCAAAGUAGAAGUGGGAAGGAAUGCUGUGAAAAAAAUAGAAACUGGCAAAGCGCUUUAACUUCAAAUAUCUUCUGGUCAGUGCUGAUGCACAGAACUAUUGCUGUUCCCGGCAAGUAAAUACAACUGAACAGUUCUGG